GUGGUUUGGAAGUACAAGGUCCUGCUGGAAAUUGGACCGGUAUUUUCAGGCUUUUUUUUUUUUUUUUCUCCACCAGAGAACCUCUAGAAGAUCUUAAGAGCCAUCCCAGCUCUUCCCUCCGUUGUGACCCACCUCACACCACAUCAGCAGACAUGAUCAUCAGACUGGGCAGACUGACCCCUGGAUACUUCCGCCUCCUCCAGAGGCAAGUAGCCGGUGAGGUGCAAACUCAGCCACAAGACCGUGCCAUCAACCAGAUAGCCAUGAUGCUGGCCAUCAUGGGCCUGAGUUUGUCCUACUACAGUGCCAAACAGAUGACAGAGAAUGUUCAGGCCCAGCACCCUGCACCCUGAAGAGACUUGACUACUCUGAUCUUGGAGUUGAUGGAUGAUUAAAUGAGAAGUGAAGGAGGUGGAGCGAGAACGUAGAAAUGGAGACAUGGCAGUUUCUCCAAGGACCGCACUUUUCUCACCUCACAG